rnacentral:rRNA from 1 species
UACAGAGGUCCCGAGCGUUGUUCGGAUUCACUGGGCGUAAAGGGUGCGCAGGCGGUUUUGUAAGCCAGAUGUGAAAUCCCCGGGCUUAACCUGGGAAUGGCAUUUGGGACUGCAAGGCUCGAGUGCGGCAGAGGAGACUGGAAUUCCUGGUGUAGCAGUGAAAUGCGUAGAUAUCAGGAGGAACACCGAUGGCGAAGGCAGGUCUCUGGGCUGACACUGACGCUCAUGCACGAAAGCGUGGGGAGCAAACAGG